rnacentral:tRNA from 1 species
GGUUGUAGCUCAGUGGUAGAGCACUUGCCUAACAUGAGCAAGGCCUUGGGUUCAAUCCCAGCACUGCCA